CCUACGGGUGGCAGCAGUGGGGAACAUUGCGCAAUGGGCGAAAGCCUGACGCAGCGACGCCGCGUGAGGGAUGAAGGUCUUCGGAUCGUAAACCUCUGUCAGCAGGGAAGAACGGUCACUGUGCUAAUCAGCAGUGAAUUGACGGUACCUGCAAAGGAAGCACCGGCUAACUCCGUGCCAGCAGCCGCGGUAAUACGGAGGGUUCGAGCGUUAAUCGGAAUUACUGGGCGUAAAGCGCUCGUAGGCGGUAUGUCAAGUCAAGGGUGAAAUCCCCGCGCUGAACGUGGGAACUGCCUUUGAAACUGGCAAACUGGAGUGUGUGAGAGGAUAGUGGAAUGCCAGGUGUAGGAGUGAAAGCCGUAGAUAUCUGGAGGAACAUCAGUGGCGAAGGCGACUAUCUGGCACAUAACUGACGCUGAGGAGCGAAAGCGUGGGUAGCAAACAGGAUUAGAUACCCGUGUAGUC
rnacentral:rRNA from 1 species